AGAGCGAACGCUGGCGGCAGGCCUAACACAUGCAAGUCGAACGGACCCUUCGGGGUUAGUGGCGGACGGGUGAGUAACACGUGGGAACGUGCCUUUUGGUUCGGAAUAGCUCCUGGAAACGGGUGGUAAUGCCGAAUGUGCCCUUCGGGGGAAAGAUUUAUCGCCAUUAGAGCGGCCCGCGUCUGAUUAGCUAGUUGGUGAGGUAAUGGCUCACCAAGGCGACGAUCAGUAGCUGGUCUGAGAGGAUGACCAGCCACAUUGGGACUGAGACACGGCCCAAACUCCUACGGGAGGCAGCAGUGGGAAUAUUGGACAAGUGGGCGCAAGCCUG
rnacentral:rRNA from 1 species